AGUGAACGCUGGCGGUAGGCCUAACACAUGCAAGUCGAACGGCAGCACAGUAAGAGCUUGCUCUUACGGGUGGCGAGUGGCGGACGGGUGAGGAAUACAUCGGAAUCUACUUUUUCGUGGGGGAUAACGUAGGGAAACUUACGCUAAUACCGCAUACGACCUACGGGUGAAAGCAGGGGAUCUUCGGACCUUGCGCGAUUGAAUGAGCCGAUGUCGGAUUAGCUAGUUGGCGGGGUGAAGGCCCACCAAGGCGACGAUCCGUAGCUGGUCUGAGAGGAUGAUCAGCCACACUGGAACUGAGACACGGUCCAGACUCCUACGGGAGGCAGCAGUGGGGAAUAUUGGACAAUGGGCGCAAGCCUGAUCCAGCCAUACCGCGUGAGUGAAGAAGGCCUUCGGGUUGUAAAGCCCUUUUGUUGGGAAAGAAAAGCAGCAGGUUAAUACCCCGCUGUUCUGACGGUACCCAAAGAAUAAGCACCGGCUAACUUCGUG
rnacentral:rRNA from 1 species